rnacentral:rRNA from 1 species
CCUACGGGUGGCUGCAGUGGGGAAUAUUGGACAAUGGGCGAAAGCCUGAUCCAGCCAUGCCGCGUGUGUGAAGAAGGCCUUCGGGUUGUAAAGCACUUUCAGUGGGGAAGAAAGCCUUGGGGCUAAUACCCUCGAGGAAGGACAUCACCCACAGAAGAAGCACCGGCUAACUCCGUGCCAGCAGCCGCGGUAAUACGGAGGGUGCGAGCGUUAAUCGGAAUUACUGGGCGUAAAGCGCGCGUAGGCGGUCUGAUAAGCCGGUUGUGAAAGCCCCGGGCUCAACCUGGGAACGGCAUCCGGAACUGUCAGGCUAGAGUGCAGGAGAGGAAGGUAGAAUUCCCGGUGUAGCGGUGAAAUGCGUAGAGAUCGGGAGGAAUACCAGAGGCGAAGGCGGCCUUCUGGACUGACACUGACGCUGAGGUGCGAAAGCGUGGGUAGCAAACAGGAUUAGAUACCCCGGUAGUC